rnacentral:rRNA from 1 species
UACGUAGGGUGCAAGCGUUGUCCGGAAUUAUUGGGCGUAAAGAGCUCGUAGGCGGUUUGUCGCGUCUGCUGUGAAAACUCGGGGCUUAACCCCGGGCCUGCAGUGGGUACGGGCAGACUAGAGUGCGGAAGGGGAGACUGGAAUUCCUGGUGUAGCGGUGAAAUGCGCAGAUAUCAGGAGGAACACCGGUGGCGAAGGCGGGUCUCUGGGCCGUAACUGACGCUGAGAAGCGAAAGCGUGGGGAGCGAACAGG